GUAACAAGUUUUCCGUAGGUGAACUUGCGGAAGGAUCAUUGUAAGGAGAAGUCGUAACAAGGUUUCCGUAGGUGAACCUGCGGAGAAGGAUCAUUGUCGAAACCUGCCCCAGCAGAAGAACGGCAGGGAGACACUCGUGCCUUCCUGCCGAACAACGUACCCCGGCGCGGUCCGCGCCAAGGAACAUGAACGAAAGAGUGCCUCCGGUCGCCUCGGAAACGCUGCGCGCACCGGAGGCGAAUCUUGUCUAGAACCAUAACGACUCUCGGCAACGGAUAUCUCGGCUCUCGCAUCGAUGAAGAACGUAGCGAAAUGCGAUACUUGGUGUGAAUUGCAGAAUCCCGCGAAUCAUCGAGUCUUUGAACGCAAGUUGCGCCCGAAGCCACCUGGCCGAGGGCACGUCUGCCUGGGUGUCACGCAUCGUUGCCCCCAACCCCAUCGCCCUGCAAAGAGGCGGUGGGGGCAUGCGGGGCGGACAUUGGCCUCCCGUGGGCUGAUGCCUGCGGCUGGCCUAAAAACGAGUCCUCGGCGACGAUCGCCACGACAAUCGGUGGUUGACAAACCUUCGUGACCCGUCGUGCGCGCAUCGCCGCUCAACGCGUGCUCUUUUGACCCUGUCGCGUCGCGCUCGCGACGCUUCCAACGCGACCCCGGGUCAGGCGGGACUACCCGCUGAG
rnacentral:rRNA from 1 species